rnacentral:misc_RNA from 1 species
GGUUGUGGAGGUGGUUGUGAUCUAGGGAAAAGAGGAAAUGGAAUUCCAUUAAGACCAAAGGUUUUACAUAUAUUAGGACAGAUUUGGAAGCAAGCACCGUUACACUUACCAUCAAUAUUAUGAGAAUCACAAUCUGCUGCACAAAAGGCAUUCAAGUUGUUUGGUAGAAGUCCUAUUUUUAUACGAGCAGGAUCAGGAUCAAGAUCCAU